UAAAAGAUAAGCUAAAAAAGCUAAUGGGUUCAUACCCCAUGAAUGGGAAUUAUCUCUCUUUUCA
rnacentral:tRNA from 1 species